AAUUUUUGAAAUCAAAUACAUUGGUCACUUAAAGCUAAUUUGUGCUUUUUUUAUUUGUAUAAUAACAAAUUUAGCCCUCCGAUGUUUACACAUUGGAACCAUGAGAAGCUACCUGAGAAGCACCUGCGCAUGACCCCCCUACUCGCAUCGUUCAACUGGUCAUCGAGUGACCAGCCACCCAGACACCCCAUCUUCCACUGAACCGCCUGCUAUUAAGUCACCCACUUUUAGUGAGAACACCCUUAUCUCCAAGAAGGGACUACAUAGGGACUUUUGAGGUCUACUACCUCAGCAAAGGUAUGUUAGAGCCGUACACGACAACCUUGCCGACCACAUGUUUAUUGGAGUCGUACAUGACAACCUUGCCACCUGGCCAACCAAAUGUUUAUCAUACUCGAAGUUUGUCGGCAACAAGACCCUAUUGGAUAAAGGGUACCCUUCCUUUAUAAAUACCCGAAGGCAUAAUGAGAAAGGGGGCUCAUUCUUCCUUUCUAGCAUCCCUAGCAACGUACUAAGCCAUCAAUCUUCUCCUCCCCUAUCUUUGCCCUCCUUGCUCCUCUUCCUUACGUAUUCCAGCUCUUCACCUAUCUCAAGUGAACCAGCCUCCUUGUCACCACUGCCAUCUCUUUUUUGUUCUCCCUUUACUAAUACUAGGUAUAAAAAAAAAAGAUAACCAAUUAAAAAUUGACAUGCGACAAAAAAGUAAAAAAAGUAUUAUUUUCUCUUUUAUAAAAAAUAACAUAUAUAAAAAUGGUCAAGUUUCAAUUUUGGUCCCUAUACUACGCUCAAAUUUAAGAUUUAAUCUUUAUACUUCAACUUCUUAACAUACUUUGGUACCUCAACUUUUACAAUGUCAUUGAUUAGCCCAAAUGCUUUAUUUUGAUUAAAAUAAUGUUGUAAUUUUUAAGAGUAGUUAACACAACUAAAAUUAUUUAUUAAAUUCACGGCCAUUAAAUUUUUUUAUUACUUGGUUAUCAUGUGAAUAUUUUUUUUAAAAUAAAAUAAAAUGUCACACCAACAAAUUUAAUAAAAAAUUUUAACGAUGUUUGUAGAAGCCCAAAUUGCCCGAGCCCUUAAACAACCCAUCAGCCAACCCUUACCCAAACCUUAAUUACAUCAAAACCCAACUAAACCCACCCAACAACCCACUAACCCCCUAACACCCAAAUACAACCCCAAUUAUCCAAACCCCCUAAAACCCAAAUACAACCCAAUUACCCAAACCCCCUAAAACCCAAAUACAACCCAAUACCCAUUAAAACCCUAAGCCCAAAUCAGAAAAAAAAAUAAUAAACCCAACAGAAACCCAUUUGCCCAUUAUGUCAAACUAGGGCUGAAACCCUAGCUACCUACCCCACCGCCAAGGUCACCUUAGCGCCGCAAUGCCCCAUGCCAUCUGCCACAUCCACCACCUGCUCCACCUGCAAAACCAAAUGACACGCAACAGCAGAGCAAAAAUAAGAAAUAAAUAAUGUAUAAACAGUGUAGCAAAAUCGGCUAUAAAGCUGAAUGGAAACUAUUGUAAAAAGGGAUCUUUUUUUGCUAUCUUGGCAUCAAUACAAAAGUGAUUUAAAUACAAACACGAGCAGUGAUCCGAGGGAAAUAAAAAAAACAAGGAAUAACACCAAAUCAGGCAAUCAAAAAAUACCAAAAUCACAAUCGAAAAUAGAAGGUGAUU
rnacentral:lncRNA from 1 species